rnacentral:misc_RNA from 1 species
GUGAAUCAUCGAAUCUUUGAACGCAAAUUGCACUCUCUUCGGGGAGUAUGCCUGUUUGAGGGUCAGCCUAAAAAAAAAUCUACAUAGUCGCUGUUUUUGCGGUGACAUUCGUCGGAAAUUUGGUCAUCUUAACCCUUUGGGUUUUAAGCGGCUUAAAAUUUUCUUUACGGAUUCCACUGACGUUUCUAAGAUUUACUUCUUACACACGUUUAAGGUAUCGAUCUUUAUUAGACGUAGCCGUUGCAUCCGAUCUUGUCCAUAAAAAUUUCGUCAAC